UACGGAGGGGGCUAGCGUUGUUCGGAAUUACUGGGCGUAAAGCGCACGUAGGCGGACAGUUAAGUCGGGGGUGAAAUCCCGGGGCUCAACCCCGGAACUGCCUUCGAUACUGGCUGUCUGGAGGUCGAGAGAGGUGAGUGGAAUUCCGAGUGUAGAGGUGAAAUUCGUAGAUAUUCGGAGGAACACCAGUGGCGAAGGAGGCUCACGGGCUCGAUACUGACGAUGAGGUGCGAAAGCGUGGGGAGCAAACGGG
rnacentral:rRNA from 1 species